UACGGGGGGGGGGCAAGCGUUGUUCGGAAUUACUGGGCGUAAAGGGCUCGUAGGCGGCCAACUAAGUCGGAUGUGAAAUCCCCAGGCUUAACCUGGGAACUGCAUCCGAUACUGGAUGGCUUGAGAUUGGGAGAGGGAUGCGGAAUUCCAGGUGUAGCGGUGAAAUGCGUAGAUAUCGGGAGGAACACCAGUGGCGAAGGCGACUACCUGGCCUGUUUCUUGACGCUGAGGCGCGAAAGCUAGGGGAGCAAACGGG
rnacentral:rRNA from 1 species